AACGUAGGAGACAAACGUUAUCCGGAAUCACUGGGCGUAAAGGGUGCGUAGGCGGGUCUUUAAGUCAGGGGUGAAAUCCUGGAGCUCAACUCCAGAACUGCCUUUGAUACUGAGGAUCUUGAGUUCGGGAGAGGUGAGUGGAACUGCGAGUGUAGAGGUGAAAUUCGUAGAUAUUCGCAAGAACACCAGUGGCGAAGGCGGCUCACUGGCCCGAUACUGACGCUGAGGCACGAAAGCGUGGGGAGCAAACAGGG
rnacentral:rRNA from 1 species